UGUAGCUCAGUCGGAUAGAGCGUCGGUCUCCGAAGCCGGAGGUCGCGGGUUCAACUCCCGCCA
rnacentral:tRNA from 1 species